rnacentral:tRNA from 2 species
GGGCGGUUAGCUCAGCGGUAGAGCGCUCGCCUUACACGCGAGAUGCCGCAGGUUCGAACCCUGCACCGCCCA